UCGAACGAACUCUGGUAUUGAUUGGUGCUUGCAUCAUGAUUUACAUUUGAGUGAGUGGCGAACUGGUGAGUAACACGUGGGAAACCUGCCCAGAAGCGGGGGAUAACACCUGGAAACAGAUGCUAAUACCGCAUAACAACUUGGACCGCAUGGUCCGAGUUUGAAAGAUGGCUUCGGCUAUCACUUUUGGAUGGUCCCGCGGCGUAUUAGCUAGAUGGUGGGGUAACGGCUCACCAUGGCAAUGAUACGUAGCCGACCUGAGAGGGUAAUCGGCCACAUUGGGACUGAGACACGGCCCAAACUCCUACGGGAGGCAGCAGUAGGGAAUCUUCCACAAUGGACGAAAGUCUGAUGGAGCAACGCCGCGUGAGUGAAGAAGGGUUUCGGCUCGUAAAACUCUGUUGUUAAAGAAGAACAUAUCUGAGAGUAACUGUUCAGGUAUUGACGGUAUUUAACCAGAAAGCCACGGCUAACUACGUGCCAGCAGCCGCGGUAAUACGUAGGUGGCAAGCGUUGUCCGGAUUUAUUGGGCGUAAAGCGAGCGCAGGCGGUUUUUUAAGUCUGAUGUGAAAGCCUUCGGCUCAACCGAAGAAGUGCAUCGGAAACUGGGAAACUUGAGUGCAGAAGAGGACAGUGGAACUCCAUGUGUAGCGGUGAAAUGCGUAGAUAUAUGGAAGAACACCAGUGGCGAAGGCGGCUGUCUGGUCUGUAACUGACGCUGAGGCUCGAAAGUAUGGGUAGCAAACAGGAUUAGAUACCCUGGUAGUCCAUACCGUAAACGAUGAAUGCUAAGUGUUGGAGGGUUUCCGCCCUUCAGUGCUGCAGCUAACGCAUUAAGCAUUCCGCCUGGGGAGUACGGCCGCAAGGCUGAAACUCAAAGGAAUUGACGGGGGCCCGCACAAGCGGUGGAGCAUGUGGUUUAAUUCGAAGCUACGCGAAGAACCUUACCAGGUCUUGACAUACUAUGCAAAUCUAAGAGAUUAGACGUUCCCUUCGGGGACAUGGAUACAGGUGGUGCAUGGUUGUCGUCAGCUCGUGUCGUGAGAUGUUGGGUUAAGUCCCGCAACGAGCGCAACCCUUAUUAUCAGUUGCCAGCAUUAAGUUGGGCACUCUGGUGAGACUGCCGGUGACAAACCGGAGGAAGGUGGGGAUGACGUCAAAUCAUCAUGCCCCUUAUGACCUGGGCUACACACGUGCUACAAUGGAUGGUACAACGAGUUGCGAACUCGCGAGAGUAAGCUAAUCUCUUAAAGCCAUUCUCAGUUCGGAUUGUAGGCUGCAACUCGCCUACAUGAAGUCGGAAUCGCUAGUAAUCGCGGAUCAGCAUGCCGCGGUGAAUACGUUCCCGGGCCUUGUACACACCGCCCGUCACACCAUGAGAGUUUGUAACACCCAAAGUCGGUGGGGUAACCUUUUAGGAACCAGC
rnacentral:rRNA from 1 species